rnacentral:rRNA from 1 species
CAGCCGCCACGGUAAUACGAAGGGGGCCAGCGUUGUUCGGAUUUACUGGGCGUAAAGCGCGCGUAGGCGGAUCGAUCAGUCAGGGGUGAAAUCCCAGAGCUCAACUCUGGAACUGCCUUUGAUACUGUCGAUCUGGAGUAUGGAAGAGGUGAGUGGAAUUCCGAGUGUAGAGGUGAAAUUCGUAGAUAUUCGGAGGAACACCAGUGGCGAAGGCGGCUCACUGGUCCAUUACUGACGCUGAGGUGCGAAAGCGUGGGGAGCAAACAGGAUUAGAUACCCGCGUAGUCCCUGUCUCUUAUAC